GCUCGAUGAGUAGGGCGGGACACGUGGUAUCCUGUCUGAAUAUGGGGGGACCAUCCUCCAAGGCUAAAUACUCCUGACUGACCGAUAGUGAACCAGUACCGUGAGGGAAAGGCGAAAAGAACCCCGGCGAGGGGAGUGAAAAAGAACCUGAAACCGUGUACGUACAAGCAGUGGGAGCACCCUUCGGGGUGUGACUGCGUACCUUUUGUAUAAUGGGUCAGCGACUUAUAUUCUGUAGCAAGGUUAACCGUAUAGGGGAGCCGGAGGGAAACCGAGUCUUAACCGGGCGUUAAGUUGCAGGGUAUAGACCCGAAACCCGGUGAUCUAGCCAUGGGCAGGUUGAAGGUUGGGUAACACUAACUGGAGGACCGAACCGACUAAUGUUGAAAAAUUAGCGGAUGACCUGUGGCUGGGGGUGAAAGGCCAAUCAAACCGGGAGAUAGCUGGUUCUCCCCGAAAGCUAUUUAGGUAGCGCCUCGUGAAUUCAUCUCCGGGGGUAGAGCACUGUUUCGGCUAGGGGGCCAUCCCGGCUUACCAACCCGAUGCAAACUGCGAAUACCGGAGAAUGUUAUCACGGGAGACACACGGCGGGUGCUAACGUCCGUCGUGAAGAGGGAAACAACCCAGACCGCCAGCUAAGGUCCCAAAGUCAUGGUUAAGUGGGAAACGAUGUGGGAAGGCCCAGACAGCCAGGAUGUUGGCUUAGAAGCAGCCAUCAUUUAAAGAAAGCGUAAUAGCUCACUGGUCGAGUCGGCCUGCGCGGAAGAUGUAACGGGGCUAAACCAUGCACCGAAGCUGCGGCAGCGA
rnacentral:rRNA from 1 species